rnacentral:rRNA from 1 species
UACGUAGGGGGCGAGCGUUGUCCGGAUUUAUUGGGCGUAAAGAGCUCGUAGGCGGUUCGAUAAGUCGGAUGUGAAAUCUCCACGCUCAACGUGGAGGGGCCAUUCGAUACUGUCGUGACUCGAGUCCGGUAGGGGAGUGUGGAAUUCCCGGUGUAGCGGUGGAAUGCGUAGAGAUCGGGAAGAACACCAAUGGCGAAGGCAGUCCGCUGGGCCGUUGCUGACGCUGAGGCGCGACAGCGUGGGGAGCAAACAGG